AUUGAACGCUGGCGGCAUGCUUUACACAUGCAAGUGUAACGGCAGCGCGGGCUUCGCCCUGGCGGCGUGUGGCGAACGGGUUAGUAAUGCAUCGCAACUGGCCCAGUAUUGGGGGAUAGGCCGUCGAAAGCCGGAUUAAUACCGCAUACGACCUGAGGGUGGAAGGGAGGGACCGCAAGUCCUCUCGCUAUUGGAGCGGCCGAUGUCGGAUGAGCUAGUUGGUGGGGUAAAGGCUUACCAAGGCGACGAUCCGUAGCUGGUCUGAGAGGACGACCAGCCACACUGGGACUGAGAAACGGCCCAGACUCCUACGGGAGGCAGCAGUGGGGAAUUUUGGACAAUGGGGGCAACCCUGAUCCAGCCAUGCCGCGUGCGGGAAGAAGGCCUUCGGGUUGUAAACCGCUUUUGUUCGGGAAGAAAGCCUCUGGGCUAAUACCCCGGGGGGAUGACGGUACCGGAAGAAUAAGCAACGGCUAACUACGUG
rnacentral:rRNA from 1 species